AAGUCGUAACAAGGUUUCCGUAGGUGAACCUGCGGAAGGAUCAUCAAUUAGAUCUUUUUCGAAAGAACUUGGAAGGGAUUCAGUGAGUGACAGCGGGGCAAGAGAGUGAAGAGGGUGAGCAGGUGCGUGAUCUUUCGAGGUUGUGCGUCUGUCCACCGUCGUUCCCACGGCCCCUGCCUACAUAAAAAAAACCACCUUUUUAUCAACCUCAGUCAGACCAGAAAUCAUUAUGAAACAAAAUACAACUUUCAACAAUGGAUCUCUUGGCUCUU
rnacentral:misc_RNA from 1 species